rnacentral:rRNA from 1 species
AUUGAACGCUGGCGGAAUGCUUUACACAUGCAAGUCGAACGGUAGAGGGGGCAACCCCUUGAGAGUGGCGAACGGGUGAGUAAUAUAUCGGAACGUGCCCAGUCGUGGGGAUAACGUAGCGAAAGUUACGCUAAUACCGCAUACGAUCUACGGAUGAAAGCGGGGGACUCGCAAGAGCCUCGCGCGAUUGGAGCGGCCGAUAUCAGAUUAGGUAGUUGGUGGGGUAAAGGCUCACCAAGCCGACGAUCUGUAGCUGGUCUGAGAGGACGACCAGCCACACUGGGACUGAGACACGGCCCAGACUCCUACGGGAGGCAGCAGUGGGGAAUAUUGGACAAUGACGCAAGUCUGAUCCAGCCAUUCCG